rnacentral:rRNA from 1 species
GACAGAGGGUGCAAACGUUUGUUCGGAAUUACUGGGCGUAAAGCGCGUGUAGGCUGCUCAGCAAGUCGGAUGUGAAAGCCCUGGGCUUAACCUAGGAAGUGCAUUCGAAACUUCUGAGCUCGAGUUCUGGAGAGGAAGGCGGAAUUCUCGGUGUAGAGGUGAAAUUCGUAGAUAUCGAGAGGAACACCGGUGGCGAAGGCGGCCUUCUGGACAGUGACUGACGCUGAGACGCGAAAGCGUGGGGAGCAAACAGG